CACUUUUCACAGUGACAGUAUCAUAUCCAAUAAGAUUUUUCUGAGGUGCAAUUAUUGCUAAAUGAAAAUUUUUCCCAAUACCUGCCAUGAUGUCUUGAAAUACAGUUGGCAUUGGCAAUUUUCACAGUCUCUAUGCACACAGAC
rnacentral:snRNA from 1 species